GUCAGUGUGGUGUAGCGGUUUGAGUGUUGGACUGAGACUCAGGAGUCAAGGGUUCGAUUCCUCACUCAGCCA